ACCAGUGUUUUCCUGAUGCGCUUUAGCUUCUCCAAUACCCCUACCUUCUCUGACACUCUCUGACCCUAUGUUUUCUGCACAUGCAACCUGACUGGUGCAGCUUCUUGGUCUGGAGGCAUAAAAGGUUCCAGCUCCGGACACCUCCCAGACUUGUGGGUGCCUGAAUCCAAGUAUAUUGAUACACAACUUCUGCCAUGCAUGGCUCUACCGGUUAUGUGGCUGUGGAACUUCUCUUCCUUUCCGGUUUCUGGCUUCAGCUGAAGUCCUUGGUAUUAGUGCUGUCUCCUCCUCAUGAGAAGAAUGGAUUAGAGAGAGAAGAUACUGGAAGACCUGAAUGAAAAUAGAUUGUUAAAUCAUUGUAUUCAAAUCAACUUAUGGACCGAGGAAAGACCAACUAAGUCAGAGGAUCUGGAUUUAAAACCUGUUUCUAGGUGGUACAGUGGAUAGAGUCAGGGAGACCUGAAUUCAAA